rnacentral:lncRNA from 1 species
CAUGAAAGUUUGAAGCAGGCCUAGCUGGAGCAAGGAAGGCCACCCCCUCCUCUACUAUUUGAAGGAGAUUUUCCAAUCCCAGUCAAAUGGUGGUGCUAGUUCUUUAGUUUUGAGCUUCUGCAUUUCCUAAUUUCAUGGUCACAACAGCCUCGGAACAGCUUCUACCAAAACUGAAAAUGCAGGCUCCAUGCUCAGCAGCUCUCUGACGGGCAGCAAAGGUUCAUGCCCCUUCUCCUGCCCUCUCUAGCACAAGAAGACAGUCUCUGAGGGACUUUCUUCUCCUCAAAUGUGUUUCCUCAUGCCCAACUAGAACAGAGAUGAAGGCUGCGAGUCUCAAAUCAAGUGCUGCAACCAAGGAGACAAAAAGAGAGAUACAGCGGGAUGUGGCGUGGUAACCUGAGACAGCAGGUGGCCCGUCGGCUGCAGAGCGCUCCGCUGAGCGCCGGGACGGUUUGUGCCUCGCCGCCAGACACUGACCAUGACCAUGACCCUCCACACCAAAGCCUCCGGCAUGGCCUUGCUGCACCAGAUCCAGGCGGGCGAGCUGGAGCCCCUAAAC